CGCGACGCGGCGCAGCGCGAGCCGGAGAAAAGCAACCAUCGUCGGGUUCCUUGCGAUCGGGCGGAGGGCGGGUCAGGGCCGCCCGGGUCCCGCCCUCACACCGCCGCGGUCGCCCGUGGUGGGCGGGCGGCGGUGUGACGACGGGGCCCGGCAGGCGGCGGCCCGGACCGGGUGGACGUCAGGCGCGGCCGACGUCCACGAAGGACAGGCCCGUGGUGGGCAGCGGCUUGAAGCCGGGGAGCGCCUUGUCGUUCCAGGCGGUGGGCAGCUUGCGGUGCAGGAUCGGGUAGAGCGCGGCCUCGUCGGCGACCAGAUCGGUGAUCUCGCCCCACAGUUGCUUGCGCGUCGCCUCGUCGGCCGCCCGGGCGGCCUUGUCGAGGAGCUGCUUGACCUUCUUGUACGCGGGGGAGCCGGCCCACGCGUAGCGCUUCUCGGGCCAGAAGCCGUAGUAGAACCAGCGCAUCAGGAGGUCGACGUCGUU
rnacentral:tRNA from 1 species